rnacentral:rRNA from 1 species
GAUGAACGCUGGCGGCGUGCUUAACACAUGCAAGUCGAACGGAAAGGCCCAAGCUUGCUUGGGUACUCGAGUGGCGAACGGGUGAGUAACACGUGGGUGAUCUGCCCUGCACUUCGGGAUAAGCCUGGGAAACUGGGUCUAAUACCGGAUAGGACCACAUUUUGGAUGGUGUGGUGGAAAGUUUUUCGGUGUGGGAUGAGCUCGCGGCCUAUCAGCUUGUUGGUGGGGUAAUGGCCUACCAAGGCGUCGACGGGUAGCCGGCCUGAGAGGGUGUACGGCCACAUUGGGACUGAGAUACGGCCCAGACUCCUACGGGAGGCAGCAGUGGGGAAUAUUGCACAAUGGGCGCAAGCCUGAUGCAGCGACGCCGCGUGGGGGAUGACGGCCUUCGGGUUGUAAACUCCUUUCGCUAGGGACGAAGCGUUUUUGUGACGGUACCUGGAGAAGAAGCACCGGCUAACUACGU